UACGUAGGCAGCGAGCGUUGUUCGGAGUUACUGGGCGUAAAGGGUGUGUAGGCGGUUGUUUAAGUCGGGUGUGAAAGCCCCGGGCUCAACCUGGGAAUUGCAUUCGAGACUGAAUAGCUAGGGUACGGUAGAGGGAAGUGGAAUUUCCGGUGUAGCGGUGAAAUGCGUAGAUAUCGGAAGGAACAUCAGUGGCGAAAGCGACUUCCUGGACCAGUACCGACGUUCAGGCACGAAAGCGUGGGGAGCAAACAGG
rnacentral:rRNA from 1 species